CCGCUGGCAUGUGGAAGCUCCUGAGCCAGGGAUCGAACCUGCGCCACAGCAGCCAGCGCGGCCGCUGCAAUGAACGCAGGAUCCUUAACUCACUGCACCACAAGGCAACUACCUCUGGUGAGCAUCUUGACCCUUCUAGAAGGGUCGAAAGGAUAGUCCUUCCUGUCAGGCCCAUAUGCAACCCGUGAAGUGCUCAUUACUUCUCUCCUGCUCAAAAUCCCCCGCUCCCCACUCCUUUCUGGGUUCUUUCACUGGCCUCUUCCACACAGGCAGCGCUCCCUGGACUCUCCCAGGGCAGAGGCCCUGAGCUGGGGUUUUAGCAUCCAAGACUUGGGAACCGAUCCGAACUUUUGCGGCUAUGAUUUCACCCAGCCUUGACUCUGACUCCACCUCCCACCAUGGCCUAGUCAUCACCUGUGGGCCUGGUAUCCUGUAAAGUACCGUGGAGGAGACCAAAAUCAGGGUAUUGGUAAAAGGAGGCAGACAGGGCAGGGUCUGAAUCCCAGCCCUACCCUUUCCCAGCUUUGUGGCCUUGAACAAGCCCUCUAACCCUUUGGCAUGUGUCAUCUCAACUCAGGGCAGAUGGCCCUUUCAGCUGACAUGUAAGCCCCACCUGGGGAGAGGCUAGAUGUGACAAGAAGCAGCUCCCAGGACAGCAAGCUCACCUCACAUUCAGUGAGAAUGCGGCUCUGCCAGGAGUUGCCUGCUUCCCCAGCUUCCUGGAUCAAUAAAAAGCACCUCCAGCAAAGUCCA